GAAGAGUUUCAUAAACUGGAGACUGGAUGCUAUUUCUACUAUAAUUCACCCCAGGGGGCUGCUUUUUCCCAUCUCUCCUCCCUAGUAUUUUGCUAGCUAAUGCCAAAAAUGUUGACCCUCCACUCUGCCCUCAAAGAAACCCUCCUGCCAGGGCUGGUGGCUACAGCUUUCAGCCACACACACUCAGGAAUCAAUCAUGCCGCUCCAUUCUACCUGUGAGUAAUCCUGCAUGCCACCUUCCUCCUUCCUUCUCAGCAGUUCUUUGAGAAGUCAGCAGGAGAAUGGAUAUCCUGGUCACAAAGGCCAAUGGUUGUGGACUUUCUGAAGAUAGAAUCAACAGUUGGUGAUGGUUAGCCAAGAUUAACUUCUGCUUCCAACUCCAAUUAAAAUUC
rnacentral:lncRNA from 1 species